GGUCGAGUGGUGUAGUGGUUAUCACACCUGUCUUACACACAGGCGGUCGUCGGUUCGAUCCCGGCCUCGAUCA
rnacentral:tRNA from 3 species